rnacentral:lncRNA from 1 species
CCUGAUUGGACCAGAGAGCUGUCUGAGAAAUACCAGGAGACCCCAAGACAGGGGUACAGGGUGAAGCAGAAUACAGAGGGACCUGACCUGUGGACUGGUGACAAGUAGCUGAGCUGCUCCCCAUUUCUUAUACCCAUACAGAAUGGACUAUUAGAUAUUCCAGGGGUGAAGCCCAGUGCCUUCAGUGAGGAGCAUAGGCACUGUAUUUCCUGAAGCAGAUAAAGAAGGACCAGGGCAGGCUGUGGAAAGAGAGGGAUUCUCAGAAGGCAAUCUUCUGAUUGUCUGCCUCCAUCUUCACCACCAUUGUUGGGGCCUGAUCCAAACGUCCAUUGAAAGUAAGCGCAAUCAAAGCCAACAACAGAAUGGAGCCAUCAUCUUUCCUAAUCAGGCUGCCUAGGGGGAGAAAGCAAUCUAUUAAAGACAGCUAACCUUUGAUGGCAGUGAAUUCUCAAUGGGCAGAUGCCAUUCUGCAGCACUCACCUUGAAGCUGGUCUGGAGCACUUAGUCAUGUCCCUACAUCUCUACAGGAGGUGGAGGUAGUAUCUUCACUUGAACAUGUCUUUUUCUAGAUUUUAUUCUAGCUUCAUUAAACCGUACAUAUAUGCAAC